rnacentral:rRNA from 1 species
CCCUUAGAUGUUCUGGGCUGCACGCGCGCUACACUGACACUAUCAACGAGUGCUCCUGGUUUGAAAGGAUCGGGUAAUCUUUUGAAAUGGUGUCGUGAUGGGGGUAGAUCAUUGCAAUUAUUGAUCUUGAACGAGGAAUUCCUAGUAAAUGUGAGUCAUCAGCUCACGUUGAUUACGUCCCUGCCCUUUGUACACACCGCCCGUCGCUCCUACCGAUUGAGUGAACCGAUGAGUAGUCCGGAUUGCGAUCGACCUCGGUUAAUCGCGAGAAGUUCCGCAAAUCACUUCACUUAGAGGAAGGAGAAGUCGUAACA